rnacentral:tRNA from 1 species
GGGGCUGUAGCUCAGCCGGGAGAGCGCAUGGAUCGCACCCAUGAGGCCAGGGGUUCGAAUCCCCUCAGCUCCACCU